rnacentral:miRNA from 1 species
AUGAACAAUCCAAGCGGGGAAU